GAUGAACGCUGGCGGCGUGCCUAAUACAUGCAAGUCGAGCGAACAGACGAGGAGCUUGCUCCUCUGACGUUAGCGGCGGACGGGUGAGUAACACGUGGAUAACCUACCUAUAAGACUGGGAUAACUUCGGGAAACCGGAGCUAAUACCGGAUAAUAUAUUGAACCGCAUGGUUCAAUAGUGAAAGACGGUUUUGCUGUCACUUAUAGAUGGAUCCGCGCCGCAUUAGCUAGUUGGUAAGGUAACGGCUUACCAAGGCAACGAUGCGUAGCCGACCUGAGAGGGGGAUCGGCCACAGUGGAACUGAGACACGGUCCAGACUCCUACGGGAGGCAGCAGUAGGGAAUCUUCCAGUAUGGGCGAAGGCCUGACGGAGCAACGCCGCGUGAGUGAUGAAGGUCUUCGGAUAGUAAAACUCUGUUAUUAGGGAAUAACAAAUGUGUAAGUAACUAUGCACGUCUUGACGGUACCUAAUCAGAAAGCCACGGCUAACUACGUG
rnacentral:rRNA from 1 species